UACGGAGGGUGCAAGCGUUAUCCGGAUUCACUGGGUUUAAAGGGUGCGUAGGCGGGUAGGUAAGUCAGUGGUGAAAUCUUUGGGCUUAACCCGAAAACUGCCAUUGAUACUAUUUAUCUUGAAUAUUGUGGAGGCUAGCGGAAUAUGUCAUGUAGCGGUGAAAUGCUUAGAGAUGACAUAGAACACCUAUUGCGAAGGCAGCUGGCUACGCAUAUAUUGACGCUGAGGCACGAAAGCGUGGGGAUCAAACAGG
rnacentral:rRNA from 1 species